UACGUAGGGGGCAAGCGUUGUCCGGAUUUAUUGGGCGUAAAGAGCGUGUAGGCGGCCUUACAGGUCAGCUGUGAAAACUCGAGGCUCAACCUCGAGACGUCGGUUGAAACCGUAAGGCUAGAGUCCGGAAGAGGAGAGUGGAAUUCAUGGUGUAGCAGUGAAAUGCGUAGAGAUCAUGAGGAAGACCAGUGGCGAAGGCGGGUCUCUGGACAGUUCCUGACACUGAGGCACGAAGGCCAGGGGAGCAAACGGG
rnacentral:rRNA from 1 species